CCUACGGGUGGCAGCAGUGAGGAAUAUUGGUCAAUGGGCGAGAGCCUGAACCAGCCAAGUCGCGUGAGGGAAGACGGUCCUAUGGAUUGUAAACCUCUUUUGUCGGGGAGCAAAAAGGCCUCGUGAGGCCACAAGUGAGAGUACCCGAAGAAAAAGCAUCGGCUAACUCCGUGCCAGCAGCCGCGGUAAUACGGAGGAUGCGAGCGUUAUUCGGAUUUAUUGGGUUUAAAGGGUGCGUAGGCGGACUGGAAAGUCAGCGGUAAAAUCGAGAGGCUCAACCUCUUUCCGCCGUUGAAACUGUCGGUCUUGAGUGGGCGAGAAGUAUGCGGAAUGCGUGGUGUAGCGGUGAAAUGCAUAGAUAUCACACAGAACACCGAUUGCGAAGGCAUCUCACGAAUCCGCGAUUGACGCUGAUGCACGAAAGCGUGGGUAUCAAACAGGAUUAGAUACCCUUGUAGUC
rnacentral:rRNA from 1 species